UUCCCCUAGUAACUGCGAGUGAAGCGGGAAAAGCUCAAAUUUGAAAUCUGGCGGCUCUGCCGUCCGAGUUGUAUUCUGGAGAAGCGUCUUCCGUGCCGGACCGUGUACAAGUCCCUUGGAACAGGGCGUCGUAGAGGGUGAGAAUCCCGUCUUUGACACGGAUCCCCGGUGCUAUGUGAUGCGCUCUCGAAGAGUCGAGUUGUUUGGGAAUGCAGCUCAAAAUGGGUGGUAAAUUCCAUCUAAAGCUAAAUAUUGGCGAGAGACCGAUAGCGAACAAGUACCGUGAGGGAAAGAUGAAAAGCACUUUGGAAAGAGAGUAAAACAGUACGUGAAAUUGUUGAAAGGGAAACGCUUGAAGUCAGUCGCGUCUGCCGGAACUCAGCCUUGCUCAUGCUUGGUGCACUUUCCGGUCUGACGGGCCAGCAUCGGUUUUGGGCGGCGGACACUGGCGAGGGGAAGGUGGCAGCUCCGGCUGUGUUAUAGCCCCCCGUCGCAAACGUCGUCUGGGACCGAGGAAUCCGGCGCAAGCCUGGGAUGCUGGCGUAAUGGCUUUAAGCGACCCGUCUUGAAACACGGACCAAGGAGUGCUACGUGCUCGCGAGUGUUUGGGUGGAAAACCCAGACGCGCAAUGAAAGUGAAAGUCGAUACCCCUUGCGGGGGCAACGACGCCCGAGCCUGAUGUUUUCGGAAGGCCUUGCGGUAGAGCGAGUGCGUUGCGACCCGAAAGAUGGUGAACUAUUCCUGAGGAGGGCGAAGCCAGAGGAAACUCUGGUGGAGGCUCGUAGCGGUUCUGACGUGCAAAUCGAUCGCAGGACUUGGGUAUAGGGGCGAAAGACU
rnacentral:rRNA from 1 species